rnacentral:rRNA from 1 species
UAUUGGGCCUAAAGCGUCCGUAGCUUGCUGUGUAAGUCCAUUGGGAAAUCGACCAGCUCAACUGGUCGGCGUCCGGUGGAAACUACACAGCUUGGGGCCGAGAGACUCAACGGGUACGUCCGGGGUAGGAGUGAAAUCCUGUAAUCCUGGACGGACCACCAAUGGGGAAACCACGUUGAGAGACCGGACCCGACAGUGAGGGACGAAAGCCAGGGUCUCGAACCGGAUUAGAUACCCGGGUAGUCCUGGCUGUAAACAAUGCUCGCUAGGUAUGUCACGCGCCAUGAGCACGUGAUGUGCCGUAGUGAAGACGAUAAGCGAGCCGCCUGGGAAGUACGUCCGCAAGGAUGAAACUUAAAGGAAUUGGCGGGGGAGCACCACAACCGGAGGAGCCUGCGGUUUAAUUGGACUCAACGCCGGACAUCUCACCGGUCCCGACAGUAGUAAUGACAGUCAAGUUGACGACUUUACCCGACGCUACUGAGAGGAGGUGCAUGGCCGCCGUCAGCUCGUACCGUGAGGCGUCCUGUUAAGUCAGGCAACGAGCGAGACCCGCACUUCUAGUUGCCAGCAAUACCCUUGAGGUAGUUGGGUACACUAGGAGGACUGCCAUUGCUAAAAUGGAGGAAGGAACGGGCAACGGUAGGUCAGUAUGCCCCGAAUGGACCGGGCAACACGCGGGCUACAAUGGCUCUGACAGUGGGAUGCAACGCCGAGAGGCGACGCUAAUCUCCAAACGGAGUCGUAGUUCGGAUUGCGGGCUGAAACCCGCCCGCAUGAAGCUGGAUUCGG